rnacentral:rRNA from 1 species
UAGGGAAUCUUCCGCAAUGGGCGAAAGCCUGACGGAGCAACGCCGCGUGAGUGAUGACGGUCUUCGGAUCGUAAAACUCUGUUAUUAGGGAAGAACAAAUGUGUAAGUAACUAUGCACGUCUUGACGGUACCUAAUCAGAAAGCCACGGCUAACUACGUGCCAGCAGCCGCGGUAAUACGUAGGUGGCAAGCGUUAUCCGGAAUUAUUGGGCGUAAAGCGCGCGUAGGCGGUUUUUUAAGUCUGAUGUGAAAGCCCACGGCUCAACCGUGGAGGGUCAUUGGAAACUGGAAAACUUGAGUGCAGAAGAGGAAAGUGGAAUUCCAUGUGUGGCGGUGAAAUGCGCAGAGAUAUGGAGGAACACCAGUGGCGAAGGCGACUUUCUGGUCUGUAACUGACGCUGAUGUGCGAAAGCGUGGGGAUCAAACAGG